rnacentral:rRNA from 1 species
CUGCUGCCUCCCGUAGGAGUUUGGGCCGUGUCUCAGUCCCAAUGUGGCCGUCCACCCUCUCAGGCCGGCUACUGAUCGUCGCCUUGGUGGGCCGUUACCCCGCCAACAAGCUAAUCAGACGCGGGUCCAUCUUACACCACCGGAGUUUUUCACACAAAUCCAUGCGGCUUCGUGCGCUUAUGCGGUAUUAGCACCUAUUUCUAAGUGUUAUCCCCCAGUGUAAGGCAGGUUACCCACGCGUUACUCACCCGUCCGCCACUAAGAUUUUA